UAGUACGGAAUUAUCUCAC
rnacentral:miRNA from 1 species